rnacentral:lncRNA from 1 species
GGAAGAUGAACUUGGAUUAGUUCCUUGAUGCUAGCUAUGGUUCUUGAUGAUUUGUUUUCUUGAAUGAAAUUCUAUGAGGGUCACAUAGAGGGAAGCUAAUGUUUUUCUUGUUAUUACUUUUUCAUGUUUUCUUUGUUUUGCUCGAGGACUAGCAAAAGCUAAGUAUGGGGGUAUUUGAUCGGAUCAUAUUUAUAUAUAUUUUUACUUCAAAUUCACUCGUCUUUUCUUAGUUAGUUCCUUAUAUUUUUGAGCUAUUUACGUUAUUUUUGUGUUUAUAGGAUUUGUU